rnacentral:tRNA from 5 species
CGCGGGGUGGAGCAGUCUGGUAGCUCGUCGGGCUCAUAACCCGAAGGUCGGAGGUUCAAAUCCUUCCCCCGCAACCA